ensembl:rRNA 5S_rRNA 5S ribosomal RNA
GUCUAUGGCCAUACCAGCCUGAAUGCACCCAAUCUCGUCUGAUCUUGGAAGCUAAGCAGGGUCGGGCCUGGUUAGUACUUGGAUGGGAGACCGCCUGGAGAAGACGGGUGCUGUAGGCU